GACAAACUGAGGAAAUUAACGGGGUUUCUCAUACCUAACUGCGCAGCAGAGGUUCUCCGGCCCCGGUGGAUGAGUGGAGGUCGGGAUUCCGUGGCGUCGACGAGGAAUUCCCGAGCGCCGCAACCCAAUUCGUGCGAGCAGCGGCCUUGGUUUGCUUCCUGGCGCACCGAAGACGCCCCCCGGUUCACAAGUGAGGUCCCAGCGAUGUCAAUCCGGCUACACCCGUGAAGGUCGUCGUAGGUGGUUGACGUGAAUUCCGCCCGCGAUGGAGUAGCUAAUGGCGGCGACUUGAGGUGAUUGGUCUAGGCGUUGUGAGGCAAAAACCCUAGUGUCCACGAAUUUAUCUCAGGGUGCGGACGAGUCCGUGGUGUAGCGAAGGUCCGGCCGCAGCUCCUUUCCCAGCCGCAUCGCGCGAGGUAGUUGCAACAGCUCGGUCGUCG
rnacentral:lncRNA from 7 species